UUGCCACCUGAAAACACCAGUUCUCGUCCGAUCACCGAAGUUAAGCAAUGUCGGGCCCGGUCAGUACUUGGGAGGGUGACCACCUGGGAACACCGGGUGCUGUAGGCU
rnacentral:rRNA from 1 species